CAUUCCAGCAGGAUGAGUUCUUUACUUCCUUUGUAUGACUGACAUUAGAAAAAGGGACGCUUCAUCUCGCCUGAUUCAGACAACAAAAUGUUAUUUAUUAACAUCCUUCAUUUCUACUUAAGGUGACAUGUGAUCAUUUGCUCCACCGGCAGGACGAUUAAUGGAGCUGCUCAACCCACAUCUGUUGUUUCUUUCUUUCUAUGCCAGGAUUUGAAUACGGAACUGUGAGGCAGACGUGUUAACCACUCAUGCAUCGUACAGGCCCAGUUUUCUUCACAGGUUCCUGACAUGAAUGCUGAUGACUUUUGUGAGCAAGCCCCUCUUCAGACAGCAGCUUUGAGACAGGGCAUGCAAAAGGAGAUCACAACCCCUUUUCUCAAAAUUUGACAGCCUGUCAUGGGAGAAGACGUGGAAAGCACAAGGUAAGUGCUCAGACGAUUGAACAGUUCUGUUGAACUGUUAAUAGUCACCUUAGCUAGCAUUACAAACAUUGGCUUGGGACCUGUCUCUCCGAACUGGUUUGACGAUUGCAAUUCGGUUUUCGUAGUCAUCCAAAAAUAACUGUACUGGUCGACUACAUUUUCCAUCAAUAACA